rnacentral:rRNA from 1 species
AUGUUACGACCUAUGUUACUCCCACUGUGGGUAGUCUUACUACUUCAUAUGGAAAAUUGCAGUAUUGAGUUGAUUUCUCUUGCCCAAUCAAUUGCAAUUUUUAUUGAAAGUACGCUUCUCUGGCCCCACACAAAUAGUUCAGUUUCUUUUCGGACUAAUAAAGAAAAUAGCUUCAGAGUUUACCACGUUCAUAAUAACCAUGCAGCUUAUUUGGUGAGCAGAUAUGUAGAAGUACGACUACUCGAAAUUGGUGUGGUCUGUGUGCAAAAUCCUAAAGGUCGUGCUACAUCUACUUCAAAUAAGUUUUACUUAAUUAAUACACUGUAA